rnacentral:lncRNA from 1 species
GAUCGCUCAAGAAAGGGGAUUCAGCCCCGGCAAAUGCGAUGCAGUGAAAGACGCUGCGGACUAUGUGGCCGGUGACGUAAAAGAUAUGCCGGCAGCUAGCCAACUCCGCUUUCUAACGAGGUUAAGGCGUGACCUAGAAAACGGAAACAGCGAGACCUGGGGUCUCAUCGAACGAGAAGUUCGAAGAUGACGGUGACGUGAAAGAUAUGCCGGCAGCUAGCCAACUCCGCUUUCUAACGAGGUUAAUGCAUGACCUAGAAAACGGAAACAGCGAGACCUGGGGUCUCAUCGAACGAUAAGUCGUAGAUGAAGACCAGGUUCGGCACGAAAUCAUAAAGGUUUGAGGACCCAUUGGUCAAAGGUAAGGGAAGGUCCUGCUUUCGGGACGGAGCCGUAUGACGCGAGAGUCUCACGUACGGUUCCUUUGAGAAGGGUGUGAUACCACCACCUAUCAGGCCCGACGAGCGGUCCACGGAGCUGCAUCCCUACUCACCUGGUCUAUGCACAUCGCUCUCUCCAGGAGGUUGGCCGCCUAUCCUAGAUCUUCCCAUUUCCAAGAAGAUCCCGGGCUCGAUCUGGUUUAGUAUCAAGGUGAUUCUUUUUCUCUUCCUAUAUAUAUGGGUCCGUGCAGCAUUUCCACGAUAUCGUUAUGAUCAAUUAAUGGGACUUGGCCGGAAUCAGGCUCGGCUAGCGGUCCACGGAGCUGCAUCCUCACCUGGUCUCCAUGCACAUCGCUCUCUCCAGGAGGUUGGCCGCCUAUCCUAGAUCUUCCCAUUUCCAAGAAGAUCCCGGGCUCGAUCUGGUUUAGUAUCAAGGUGAUUCUUUUUCUCUUCCUAUAUAUAUGGGUCCGUGCAGCAUUUCCACGAUAUCGUUAUGAUCAAUUAAUGGGACUUGGCCGGAAAGUGUUCUUGCCUCUAUCAUUAGCUCGGGUAGUCCCCGUUUCUGGUGUUUUAGUCACCUUUCAAUGGCUCCCUUAAUUAUGUGCGAGGAAUUGCCCUAUUGAGUAAUGGGAAGCGGGCUAGUCCCCGAAAAUGCCCCGCCCGUAAGUUCCUUUGUCGUUGGGGAAAAAAAAAUCUCUUUUUAUAUAUUGGUCCGUGUAGCAUUUCCACGAUAUCGUUAUGAUCAAUUAAUUGGACUUGGCCGGAAAGUGUUCUUGCCUCUAUCAUUAGCUCGGGUAGUCCCCGUUUCUGGUGUUUUAGUCACCUUUCAAUGGCUCCCUUAAUUAUGUGCGAGGAAUUGCCCUAUUGAGUAAUGGGAAGCGGGCUAGUCCCCGAAAAUGCCCCGCCCGUAAGUUCCUUUGUCGUUGGGGAAAAAAAAAUCUCUUUUUAUUUUUAG